UACGUAGGGGGCAAGCGUUGUCCGGAUUUAUUGGGCGUAAAGAGCUCGUAGGUGGUUCGGUAAGUCUGAUGUGAAAGCCCACGGCUCAACCGUCGGAGGGUCAUUGGAAACUGGGGAGCUUGAGUGCAGAAGAGGAGAGUGGAAUUCCACGUGUAGCGGUGAAAUGCGUAGAGAUGUGGAGGAACACCAGUGGCGAAAGCGGCUCUCUGGUCUGUAACUGACGCUGAGGCGCGAAAGCGUGGGGAGCAAACAGG
rnacentral:rRNA from 1 species